CCUACGGGAGGCAGCAGUGAGGAAUAUUGGUCAAUGGACGAGAGUCUGAACCAGCCAAGUAGCGUGAAGGAUGACUGCCCUAUGGGUUGUAAACUUCUUUUAUCUGGGAAUAAAAUGUUCCACGUGUGGGAUUUUGUAUGUACCCGAUGAAUAAGGAUCGGCUAACUCCGUGCCAGCAGCCGCGGUAAUACGGAGGAUCCGAGCGUUAUCCGGAUUUAUUGGGUUUAAAGGGAGCGUAGGUGGAUUGUUAAGUCAGUUGUGAAAGUUUGCGGCUCAACCGUAAAAUUGCAGUUGAAACUGGCAGUCUUGAGUACAGUAGAGGUGGGCGGAAUUCGUGGUGUAGCGGUGAAAUGCUUAGAUAUCACGAAGAACUCCGAUUGCGAAGGCAGUUCACUGGACUGCAACUGACACUGAGGCUCGAAAGUGUGGGUAUCAAACAGGAUUAGAUACCCCUGUAGUC
rnacentral:rRNA from 1 species